ensembl:lncRNA LINC01546 long intergenic non-protein coding RNA 1546
ACAUCCCUUUCUAAUUCAAGGCCACUCAGCUGAUUCCCGCAGAGACUUUCGUUCCACGGUGGCUUUCCACCGUCCAGUGGUACCUCUGUAGCUGCCCUGACUCACUGUGCCAUCAAAAAUCUCCUUCAAUCAAACCAGCCUCUGAAUGCACUCGACAAGGUCCUGCAUGUUGAAGCCUGCAAUCUGCAAAUCUGCACCAUCUUUCUAAAGCUGCCUGCUGCUUACAUUUUGAGAGGAGGAUGAGGUUAAUUAUCGGAGGUGGAAAAUAAAUAUCACAGAGCAGCUGGACAUGGGGGAGCUUGCAGCGUCAGCAAAUCAUGGACACUCACCCUGCUACCCAGAGAGAAAAGGGACCCCUGGAGACUUGAGCAAAAGAAAAAUGCUGGUACAUUUUUACCCCAGGAGGCACAGCCACCCCAGAGCCACACAGCAAUGGAUACUUAAGAAUAAGACUCUCUGCAGGAGGAUCAAGGAGUAAUAAAAAGAGCAGAAUAUCUGCAGCUGCCAAGACCUCGGCUCUAAUUCUAGAUUUGCAGCCCAUGGCUGCACAAUAGGCACAAGAAUGAACCAACGUCACCACCAAGGAAAGUGGCACAGCUGAGCUGCACCCACGUCUGACUCCAAGGGACCAGCUAUUGACAGCUAUUCACCAUUUGGUUUCUGUGUGUCCCAGUCCUCACGUGGAAAAUGGGCAAAUAUUAUCUGCUUCAUCGGUAUUCCUGGGAACCUAGAGGAAGCACUAGCCAAUAUCAUUCACUUAGCAUACCGGAGUUAUCUUUCCAUUUUCUUAAUUCAAGAACCUUGCUCUUUUUGCCAAUUAUCUUAGUAGUUUUUCAGUGACCUCUCAGUAAAAGCAAUGUAUUUUGUAGCCUUGUCUUUCACAGAAAUCGCCUUAUAAAUUGUUUGAUAUACAAUUAAACAAAAACUUUAUUUCUGCAUUGCUCAAAGAAUAUAUAUUUCAUUUGUUAUAAAAUAUUAUAGCAUUCAGCUAAGUCUCAUACAUUUAUUUAUUUAUUUUUAUUUACUUUUUCUCUCCAACUUCUAUUUUAUGUUCAGAGAGUUCAUGUACAGGUUUGUUAAAUAGAUAAAUUGCAAGUCACGGGGGUUUGGUGUACAGAUUAUUUCAUCACCCAGAUAAUAAGUGUAGUAUCCCACAGGUAGUUUUUUGAUCCCCACCCUCCACCCUCAAGUAGGCGUUGGUGUAUAUUGUUCUCACCUUUGUGUCCAUGUGUACUCAAUGCUUAGCUCCCACUGAUAAGUGAGAACUUGUGGUAUUUUGUUUUCUGUUCCGUUCCUCUGUUAAUUCACUUAGAAUAAUGGCUUCCAGCUCCAUCCAUGUAGCCGCAAAGAACAUAAUCUCAUUCUUUUUAUGGCUUCAUAGUAUUCCAUGGUGUAUAUGCACCACAUUUUCUUUAUUCAGUCUGCUCUUAAUAGGCAUCUAAGUUGAUUCCUUACCUUUGCUAUUGUGAAUAGUGCUGCCAUGAACAUACACGUGCAUGUGUCUUUAUGGUAGAACAAUGUAUAUUCCUUCGAGCAUAUACUGAGUAAUGGGAUUGAUGGGUCGAAUGGUAGUUCUGUUUUUGUUUUUUGAGAAAUCUCCAAACUGCUUUCCACAGUAGCUGGGCUAAUUUACAUUUCCACUAACCGUGUAUAAGUGUUCCCUUUUCUCUGCAAUCUUGGGAGCAUCUGUUGUUUUUGACUUUUUAAUCAUAGCCAUUCUGACUGGUGUGAGAUGGUAUCUCAUUGUGAUUUUAAUUUGCAUUUCUCUGAUGAUUAGUAAUAUGGAGUAUUUUUUCAAGUUUGUUGGCUGUGUGUUAUGUCUUUUUUGUAGAUGUGUCUGUUCAUAUCCUUUGCCCAUUUUUUCUUUUUUCUUUUUUUUCUUUUUUUUUCGGAAACAGUAUCUUGCUCUGUUACCCAGUCUGGAGUGCAGAGGCAUGAUAUUAGCUCACUGGAACCUCUGCCUCCCGGAUUCAAGCAAUUCUCCUGCCUUAGCCUCCCAUGUAGCUGGGAUUACAGGCAUGUGUCACCAUGCCCGGCUAAUUUUUGUAUUUUUAAUAGAGACAGGGUCUCGCCAUGUUGGCCAGGCUGGUCUCAAACUGCUGGCCUCAAGUGAUCUGCCUGCCUCAGCCUCCCAAAGUGCUGGGAUUACAGGCAUGAGCCACUGUGCCUGGCUGUUUGCCCAUUUUUUAAUGUUGUUGUCCAACAUUUCUUUGACAUCAACACUGUACACUGCAACAAUAUUGGUAAGUGUUUAUAUAUAUUAUUUUGAUUAUUUUUUGCCUUAAUAAUGCUCUAUUAUCACUUCCAUCAUAGGAUUCCCUUCUGUCUGUCUGAAUGUUUUCUUAUCUAGGCUUCAUCUGGUCCUGUGUUGUUGCAUGACUUUUGUUAAAUCUUUUAGUAUCCUUGGUCUACGUGGCUUCCGUUAUUACGCAUCU